rnacentral:ncRNA from 2 species
GUAAAUGCAAUGAACAGGAAGAGUACGUUGAACCUGGCAUUCAGAGAGGGAGGCAUAAGCUGAGAGUCUUCCAUGCCAAGACAAUGGAAUGUCGCCUGAGAGCAGUUCCCGUGAACUUUAAGUAGUGGGAACCGGUGAAAAGCCGUUAUGGGUCUUUGAGAGCCUGGGGAAACCCGGGAAUUAAGGUGGUACCGCGAAUGAGAGAUCCUUCGUCCUUUUU